UACGUAGGGGGGCUAGCGUUGUCCGGAAUCAUUGGGCGUAAAGAGCGUGUAGGCGGUCCGGUAAGUCCGCUGUGAAAGUCGGGGGGCUCAACCCUCGAAUGCCGGUGGAUACUGUCGGGCUAGAGUGCGGAAGAGGCGAGUGGAAUUCCUGGUGUAGCGGUGAAAUGCGCAGAUAUCAGGAGGAACACCUAUUGCGAAGGCAGCUCGCUGGGACGUUACUGACGCUGAGACGCGAAAGCGUGGGGAGCAAACAGG
rnacentral:rRNA from 1 species